GGCCGAGAGCCCAGCCUAACCCAGCACCCCCCGACACCACUCCGCAACCCACCCCCGUCGCCCCGGCGGGCCGCGGUCUUCCCGGCCGCCCCCCGAUUUUGGGGGGUGGCUAGUGCCCGCCAGAGACUAUCAAACUCCAAUCAUUGCACGUUGCAGUCUGAAAAAAAUAUUAAAUAACUUUAAACUUUGACCUCUUGUCUCUUGGUUCUGGCAACAACGAAGAGCGCUGCGAAAGUUAUGAGAAUUGUGAAUUUCAGUGAUUCAUGAAUCCUUUGAACUUACAUUGCGCCCUGUGGUAUUCCGGGGUGCAUGCAUGUUGCGAGCGUCAUUUCAACCUUCUAGCUCUGCUUGAUAUUGGGCACCGUCCUUUGCGGUCGCGCCUCAGAGACCUCGGCGGUCGCGUCUUGCCUCAAGCGUAGUAGAAUACACGGUCGCUGCGGAGCGUAAGGCGUCGCCCGCCGGACGAACCUUCUGAGCUUUUCUCAGGGUUGACCUCGGAUCAGGUAGGGAUACCCGCUGAACUUAAGCA
rnacentral:rRNA from 1 species